UACGUAGGGUGCGAGCGUUUGUCCGGAAUUAUUGGGCGUAAAGGGCUCGUAGGCGGUUUGUCGCGUCGGGAGUGAAAUCCACUGGCUUAACUGGUGGCUUGCUUUCGAUACGGGCAGACUGGAGGUAUGCAGGGGAGAACGGAAUUCCUGGUGUAGCGGUGAAAUGCGCAGAUAUCAGGAGGAACACCGGUGGCGAAGGCGGUUCUCUGGGACGGUACUGACGCUGAGACGCGAAAGCGUGGGGAGCAAACAGG
rnacentral:rRNA from 1 species